AGACAGAAACCAACAGAAGCCACGUGGAGAAGCAGGUUAUUGUGUAGAGGCAUGAGGGAGGGAAUUAGGAGUGGAAGGAAGCAAGAGGCCUUCUACAGCUAGUGCAGGAUUUGGCUGUCUCUUGGACGCCAGUUUCUUUGUGUUAGAGCUCAUUAACUGUACUAAGAACAGAACUCUGACUAAUUAUGUGAUAUAGUUUUGUAUCUUUUUCCUUGAUUUUCACCUGCCUCCUGCAUUUCCUUGUGCCUGAAUAGUCAUCUGACUUCACUUGCAUUUUCUGUCGCCCCAGGAAAAUAUGCUAGCCGGGAAAGGCCAAGUAUUUAGCUUGUCUGACAGAGAAAAAAGGUGGAAAUCUGCUGGUCCUUUUUGAUAUAGAUUGGUAGUAAGUAUUUAAUUCUGGAAAGUGUUCUGAGAUCUGAGCUUUUUAUGCCAAACCAAUGUAAAAUCCUGUCCAUCUCUCUGUCUGUCUAUUUUUCUUUCUAUCUGACUGUUAAUAUAUUUAUUUUUAAAUACUAGAAAUUCCUGAGGCAUAAAAAAUCAGAAUUUUUUCCUGGUGAUAUGAUACUGUUAGCUGAAGAGCGAGGCUGCUCAUCAUGGAGGGAAUGGAGAUUAUUUUUUUCAUGGAGAUGAAGCAGUAAAGCCAACAAAAGUAACUGCAGUGGCUGACCUGGGAUCUGGUUUUGAUGGUGGGGAAAUCUUUGUGUCCUUCUACCACAGAGACACAGAGGACAUAGUUGUGACAUACAGACGUCCUUGGUGAUGGAGUGAAGCUGCAACUGUUAGUUGGCUCUUGGUGUAAUUGAUGGACACUGCCAGUUGCUUAGACAGAUGGGAAUUAACACUGGUGUUCCCAUUAGAACUUGCCAUCACAGUCACGUUGGCUUUGGUCUCCUGCACUGGGUUGAUGUGUGCAAGAGAGUGCAUGUGGAAGGAGCAAGCGUAACUCCUGCCUGCAGUACUCGCCUUCCAGGGUAUUGGAGCCAUCCAUCCAACACAGAGCAGACGAGCUGCUUGCCAGCAGUUUGCAGAACACAUGGCUUUGAGAUGGUGAGGAAAAUGCUUCUUUGCUGGAUGCUGAGAGAUUGCAGUGAGCGGGACUCUCAUCCCUGGAGGCAUCUGUAAGCUGUACUUACAGGCAUUGCAGUGCCUUGUGGCCCAGCUGUCUCCUCUGGACCUCCGGUGACCCGGCACAGCCACCUUGUGACCUGUCAGGUGACAACCAUGAGGCACAGCAGGAGGUGAUGGCUAAGGUAGGAGAUGUUCCAGUCUUACUUACACAUUAAACACAUGGAAAAACAGAUUAACACCUAAGCACACAAACACACGUUAACACUGACUUGAAGCACACAAACAGAUGCAAACACUGUGAUUCCAAAUGUGUUCCGGGACAUCCACCUUUCUUCUCAUGGCUGGAACAGAACAGUGAUCCUGUUUGAGCAGUGUUGGACUGAAGAAAUUAAGGUAAGAGGGAGGGGGUUUAAAAAAAAAUAAAGCAGCUUGUUUCUGUGCACGUGCCUUUGUUACCGCCUUUUGGAUGCUGUGAUUUCCGUUUUACUUUGUGUCUGUUGCCAGUUAUGCAGAGCACUGGUUCACUGUGAACACUUGUCACAAUGUGUGUAAUUUAUUACUGAUGGUGUCCAGUUUGUUUCAGUUAAGAUAUUUGUGGGCGAAGGUUUUGUUCGGAUGUGUGUUCAAGACCACCUGAUUUGAUAGAGACUUCGCGCAGGGUUCAAUCUGCCCACGCUGCACUUGGCCAAGAG
ensembl:lncRNA